GCCGGGGUGGCGGAAUGGCAGACGCACGCGACUCAAAAUCGCGCGGGCGCAAGCCCAUGUGGGUUCGAGUCCCACCCUCGGCA
rnacentral:tRNA from 1 species